rnacentral:rRNA from 1 species
AGUGAACGCUGGCGGUAGGCCUAACACAUGCAAGUCGAACGGCAGCACAGUAAGAGCUUGCUCUUACGGGUGGCGAGUGGCGGACGGGUGAGGAAUACAUCGGAAUCUACUUUUUCGUGGGGGAUAACGUAGGGAAACUUACGCUAAUACCGCAUACGACCUACGGGUGAAAGCAGGGGAUCUUCGGACCUUGCGCGAUUGAAUGAGCCGAUGUCGGAUUAGCUAGUUGGCGGGGUAAAGGCCCACCAAGGCGACGAUCCGUAGCUGGUCUGAGAGGAUGAUCAGCCACACUGGGACUGAGACACGGUCCAGACUCCUACGGGAGGCAGCAGUGGGGAAUAUUGGACAAUGGGCGGAAGCCUGAUCCAGCCAUACCGCGUGGGUGAAGAAGGCCUUCGGGUUGUAAAGCCCUUUUGUUGGGAAAGAAAAGCAGCAGGUUAAUACCCCGCUGUUCUGACGGUACCCAAAGAAUAAGCACCGGCUAACUUCGUG